AGUUGAAGGCAGUUGAGAGGUGAAUGUAGGAAGAGGAAAGAGGUGCCCUGCUGAUGAUAUAUGUAAUCAUGACUUAGUGACAUAUCACAAGCAUAGGAAGCUUCUGGUUCAGUGGUCCUCAAAUGCAACUCACAAAAUAUCAUCUGGGGAAGUUCUGAAUUAAGUGGUUGACAGUGUUACGUGGGCAUCAGGAUAUUUAAAAUGAGAAUCUACAGUUGUAGGCAAGCCGUUCACCAUCAUCUCUUGCUUUUGUCACCGCUGGGUGUUUGGCUGGAUCGGCUGCCGCUGGUAUGGAUGGGCUGGAUUUUUCUUUGGCUGUGGAAGCCUUAUCACCAUGACUGCUGUCAGCCUGGAUCGAUAUUUGAAAAUCUGCUAUUUAUCUUAUGUUCUGACUUCUGGAGCAACACAGAACCAAUCUACUAAUCUACUCCCUCCUGUACUUGACAGCCUUUCACCAUACUGGAAUGGGUUUGGCUGAAAAGAAAGCACGCCUACAUCUGCCUGGCAGCCAUCUGGGCCUAUGCUUCCUUCUGGACCACCAUGCCCUUGGUAGGUCUGGGGGACUACGUACCUGAGCCCUUCGGAACCUCGUGCACCCUGGACUGGUGGCUGGCCCAGGCCUCGGUAGGGGGCCAGGUUUUCAUCCUGAACAUCCUCUUCUUCUGCCUCUUGCUCCCAACGGCUGUGAUCGUGUUCUCCUACGUAAAGAUCAUUGCCAAGGUUAAGUCCUCUUCCAAAGAAGUAGCUCAUUUCGACAGUCGGAUCCAUAGCAGCCAUGUGCUGGAAAUGAAACUGACAAAGGUAGCGAUGUUGAUUUGUGCUGGAUUCCUGAUUGCCUGGAUUCCUUAUGCAGUGGUGUCUGUGUGGUCAGCUUUUGGAAGGCCAGACUCCAUUCCCAUACAGCUCUCUGUGGUGCCAACCCUACUUGCAAAAUCUGCAGCGAUGUACAAUCCCAUCAUUUACCAAGUUAUUGACUACAAAUUUGCCUGUUGCCAAACUGGUGGUUUGAAAGAAACCAAGAAGAAGUCUCUGGAAGGCUUCAGGCUGCACACCGUAACCACAGUCAGGAAGUCUUCUGCUGUGCUGGAAAUUCAUGAAGAGUGGGAAUAACAAAUGUUCUGGUUGUGAAGAGUGCAUCUGAAGUGCUUACACAGCGUCUGGCAUAUGCAGAGAAAUUAGCUUACAAAUGUUAUUUUUCUGACUUCUCGCCUCCACUCCACUUACCCUGUCAGGAAAAAAUAAUUCACAAGGAAUAUCAAAACAAUGAUGCACCCUAGGAGUAUCCAAGUAUCUUAACUGAGUUAUCUCAUUCUAGUAUAGUGGCAGAGUUAUAACUAAAGAGUGCUAGAAACCCACGCUUUAAACAUCCUGCAGUGCACACCUCGGUCUCAUCAGUAAGGACUUCACUUUCUUCUGAACUGGGGCUUGUGAAAGCUGGCCUGAAAAGCCUGAUUCAAGGAGAUCAGGCUGUGUCUCUGACUGGAGCAGCUACACUCCCCAUCUGUAAUUUGAUUUGUUCUAUUGCAGAUGAUGUACUGGGCAGAGGUGAGUGUGGAUUGGUGAAAACCUGUUUUUAUGACUGGCAAAGCAGUGCAGGGGGGUCUUUCACUGAUAAGAAGCAUCAUCAGUAGGGUUUGUCCCUGAUGCCUUUACAACAGCAUCUGAGCACCUCUCAAGUUUUUCCAGGCCAGCUCCAGUUUCAGUGAGGAGAGUGUGGGCUUUUUAUUCCCCAAAUAUUCUUACUACAGUUAAUGUGUAGGUUACUGCCCCAGCCCAACUGCAGGUUCCCAGAUGUGAGUUCCAUGUAGGCAGAAACUGUCCAGUUCUUGAAAUUGAAUUACUUCCUUGUGUAUGUGUUUUUUUUCCUACUUAAAGCUCCUUGGGAUGCUUCCUCUCAAAAGUCUUUGAAGAAUAAGAGGUUAAGCUAAGACAACCUGAAUCAAUUUUUUUUUUUGAAAACGUGAUUGAAAUUAUCCCCAUAAUUCAAUAAAAUAGCUUUUUCCCUUCUUUCUUUUUACUUUGUUGGAAACUAUGCAACAGAAACAAAGUAAGAAGACUCUACCUUAAUUUUAAAGGUAACUCUUACAUAAAGAAGAAAGUCAUUAUGCCAGGCCAGGGGGGAGAGUGGAAAGGGGAAAUUUAGAGAAUAGAAACAAACUUAAGCAUCUUGUAAAUUUUGAGUGAAUUGUAAACACAUAAUGAAUGAAUGAGAAGGGCCAGCCAGGAGUCUGUGAAAUGGUCCAGUUGGGAAAUGCCUAAUGCAUAAACACAAAUCUUGGUGACAGGUAGGUUAGUUAUCUGUGAACUUUCUAAAGAUUAAAUAAACAAUAAUAGGAUUUUGUUAAUGUGCCAAAGUGAGUUUAAACCAUGAAAGACACGAUGCAAAUAUGCAAGUACCUUUAAUUGGGCAUAAUAAAAAGUAGUGAGGUAUGGUUAAAAUAAUAACAUUUAGAACAAGAGAGAAGUUAGGGAGAAUUUUUGUCUAAAAAGCCAAAAAGUGAUAGUUGAUUGGUGAUUUUGUUGUUAUCAGGAGAGAGAAUUUUCUUAAUGUAAUAAGUUAGGUACUUUGGCAAGUGAAAUGGGUUCUAGGCCAAUUGCAAGUCCUUAGGAUUCCCUGGCAGCUAGAAACCUUGGCACUCCCAAAAGACAGCUUCAGUUAAAAUGACAGAUGAACACGAGUCUUCAAGUCAAAACUACUGUUGUACCACGUCCGUUGAAUGUUUGGUGAUUCAAGUCUCUGUUAUUCAGGAACUGAUUCUGUUUUUCCUCCUGUCAAAACCUUGGUUGAUUUUGACUGUAGUAGCACAUCUGGCAGAAAAAAAUUAAGUUAAAAAUAUAAUUUCUAUUCCCCUAUUUUUUUCUGUAAAAGGCUUUAUGGGGAAGAAGGGAAGAAGGUUGACAUGAGUAGAGAUGAUACUUGCCUCUGGAUGACCCAGUUGGGUUCUCCUUUGACUGCCAUUCACCACAGUUGACCUCAUUAGGCUCCGAAGUAUGAGAAGAGCUUCAUUGCCAAGUUAGUGAAAGAAGCAGAUGAUUUACUUUUGCUUGAGUGGGUCUGUAGACCUCGGGAGAUUAGCCAUUUCUCUUAGAGUUUGGUGUAUGUAUUAAGAUACAGCAUGUAUGUAGGUAUAUAUAAUACAUAUAUGUGUGUAUACAUAUAUAUAUAUUUCUGGUUUGUUUAAUAUCUUUUAAAAAUUUUUAAUGGAAUUUUUUGAACAUGUACAAAAGAGAAAGAAUCCUAUGAUGAACUCCCAUGUAUCCAUCAUCCAGCCUCAAUAGUGAUCAACCCAUAGCAUAUUGUGGUUCAUGUUGACACUCAUCCACCUCUUUCCUUCCCCAUCUCUCCCCAUUAUUUUGAGACAAAUGAGAUCCUGGGAUUUCAUGAAAAUAUUAUGAAUAUCUUAUUUGUGAGAACAAGAUUUCCCGAAGCAUGAUCCCCAGAAACCUAGUCCUGCAAAACUACUGCAAAAAUAAAGCGUUCUAAUCUCCAAA
rnacentral:sRNA from 1 species